rnacentral:misc_RNA from 1 species
AACGGUCUAUACCUGCGGUACCUGCGGAGGGAUCAUUAAUGUAGCCUUUGUCCACUUGUAAGUCAGCUUGAGGGGGGUUCUAAUACCCCUUCUCACAGUUGGCUUACAAGCACCCGUGCUUUUUUGAAGUCUUAAACCAAUUUACCUUUUCUGUACGGCUCUGAACGAUCCUGCAUUAAUUGAAAUUGGUCAAACAAAAUCCUAACACUGACAAGCAUCGACUGUACUCGUAUGGUGGAU